rnacentral:rRNA from 1 species
AGUGGCGGACGGGUGAGUAACGCGUGAGAAUCUGCCUUGGGGUCGGGGACAACCACUGGAAACGGUGGCUAAUACCGGAUAAGCCGAUUGGUGAAAGAUUUAUUGCCCGAAGAGGAGCUCGCGUCUGAUUAGCUAGUUGGUGAGGUAAGAGCUCACCAAGGCAGCGAUCAGUAGCUGGUCUGAGAGGACGAUCAGCCACACUGGGACUGAGACACGGCCCAGACUCCUACGGGAGGCAGCAGUGGGGAAUUUUCCGCAAUGGGCGAAAGCCUGACGGAGCAAGACCGCGUGAGGGAGGAAGGCUCUUGGGUUGUAAACCUCUUUUCUCAGGGAAGAAGCUCUGACGGUACCUGAGGAAUCAGCCUCGGCUAACUCCGUGCCAGCAGCCGCGGUAAUACGGAGGAGGCAAGCGUUAUCCGGAAUUAUUGGGCGUAAAGCGUCCGCAGGUGGCGAUUCAAGUCUGCUGUCAAAGCACGGGGCUUAACUCCGUAAAGGCAGUGGAAACUGAAUAGCUAGAGUGCCGUAGGGGUAGAGGGAAUUCCCGGUGUAGCGGUGAAAUGCGUAGAGAUCGGGAAGAACAUCGGUGGCGAAAGCGCUCUACUGGACGGCAACUGACACUCAGGGACGAAAGCUAGGGGAGCGUGGGAUUAGAUACCCC